rnacentral:tmRNA from 1 species
GGGGGUGUACUGGUUUCGACAGGGAUAUGCUUGGUGCAGACUGCAGUCGAGUGGUUACGUAAUAACCAAUUAAAAUUAAACGGAAAAACUAAAUUAGCUAACAUCUUUGGUGCAAACCAGAGAAUGGCUUUUGCUGCUUAAUUAACCGAUAUAGGUUCGCAGCCCCGCUGCAUGCUUCUUCCUUGACCAUGUAGUUGUGUGCUUAAGACGCAAGGAAUAAGGAAGCAGGAUUGUCUAAGUCUUGCUUCUCGAAAAUCUUAUUAGGCAAAUUCAUCAGAGGCUGUUCAUGUCUUCCUGAUGUCUUAAUUAAUAUGAACUAAACUGUAGAUGUCUGUACGUGGAGCUAUUUUUGGACAGGAGUUCGACUCUCCUCACCUCCACCA